AUUGAACGCUGGCGGCAUGCCUUACACAUGCAAGUCGAACGGUAACGGGCCUUCGGGUGCCGACGAGUGGCGAACGGGUGAGUAAUACAUCGGAACGUGCCCGAUCGUGGGGGAUAACGAGGCGAAAGCUUUGCUAAUACCGCAUACGAUCUACGGAUGAAAGCAGGGGACCGCAAGGCCUUGCGCGGACGGAGCGGCCGAUGGCAGAUUAGGUAGUUGGUGGGAUAAAAGCUUACCAAGCCGACGAUCUGUAGCUGGGCUGAGAGGAUGAUCAGCCACACUGGGACUUGGACACGGCCCAGGCUCCUACGGGAGGCAGCAGUGGGGAAUUUUGGACAAUGGGCGCAAGCCUGAUCCAGCCAUGCCGCGUGCAGGAUGAAGGCCUUCGGGUUGUAAACUGCUUUUGUACGGAACGAAAAGCCUUCUUUUAAUACAGGAGGGUCAUGACGGUACCGUAAGAAUAAGCACCGGCUAACUACGUG
rnacentral:rRNA from 1 species